rnacentral:rRNA from 1 species
GAUGAACGCUGGCGGCGUGCCUAAUACAUGCAAGUCGAGCGAACGGACGAGAAGCUUGCUUCUCUGAUGUUAGCGGCGGACGGGUGAGUAACACGUGGAUAACCUACCUAUAAGACUGGGAUAACUUCGGGAAACCGGAGCUAAUACCGGAUAAUAUUUUGAACCGCAUGGUUCAAAAGUGAAAGACGGUCUUGCUGUCACUUAUAGAUGGAUCCGCGCUGCAUUAGCUAGUUGGUAAGGUAACGGCUUACCAAGGCAACGAUGCAUAGCCGACCUGAGAGAGUGAUCGCCCACACUGGAACUGAGACGCGGUCCAGACUCCUACGGGAGGCAGCAGUAGGGAAUCGUCCGCAAUAGGCGGAAGCCUGGCGGAGCAGCGCCGCGUGAGUGAUGAAGGUCUUCGGAUCGUAAAACUCUGUUAUUGGGUAAGAACAGAUGUGUAAGGAACUGUACACAUCUUGACGGUACCUAAUAAGAAAGCCACGGCUAACUACGUG